rnacentral:lncRNA from 1 species
AAAUAGAGACCAACAUGGCCGGGCAGGAAGAGCAGGGUCCCGCCUUCAGGUGUUUGGGACUCAGCUGAGGGUGUGGGUGCCCCGCGGUGGGGGCUGAACCUUCCUGGGGUGUGGAGAGACGAAAGGAGCCCAGAUCCAAGUUCCCUCGUUCCCGCUUUGGCACAAGUUGCCCUGGCGGUCUCAUGAGAGAGAGAGAGAGCUGGGACCCUCCUCGCCCCAGUGAGUGUGAUGUCUUGCUCCGGGUGUCCUGGGGCAACUUUCUAUAAAGGCGGGACGUGGGAGGAUCAGACAGACAAGGGUGUUGACUCUGCAGCACAGAACCAGUAGUUUGUGGAGAAGAAUGAGGUGUGGUGUUGAAUCUGCUAGACAGGCUACUGAAGCAAAAGUCAAGAGAUCCAGAUCCCAUCAUGGGGACACUUUAG